GGGGUUGUAGCUCAGUGGUAGAGCACUCACCUGGCAUGUGUGAGGCAAUGGGUUUGAUCCUCAGCACCA
rnacentral:tRNA from 1 species